UGGGGAAUAUUGGACAAUGGGCGCAAGCCUGAUCCAGCCAUGCCGCGUGUGUGAUGAAGGCCUUAGGGUUGUAAAGCACUUUCACCCGGGAAGAUAAUGACGGUACCGGGAGAAGAAGCCCCGGCUAACUUCGUGCCAGCAGCCGCGGUAAUACGAAGGGGGCUAGCGUUGUUCGGAAUCACUGGGCGUAAAGCGCACGUAGGCGGACUUUUAAGUCAGAGGUGAAAUCCCAAGGCUCAACCUUGGAACUGCCUUUGAUACUGGGAGUCUUGAGGUCGAGAGAGGUGAGUGGAACUGCGAGUGUAGAGGUGAAAUUCGUAGAUAUUCGCAAGAACACCAGUGGCGAAGGCGGCUCACUGGCUCGAUUCUGACGCUGAGGUGCGAAAGCGUGGGGAGCAAACAG
rnacentral:rRNA from 1 species